UUUGCAGGGCACGGAGGGAAGCAGUGUUGGUGGUGGCCCCGAGGCGUCGUAUGUGCAGCGGGUGGGGGGACAGCAAUAAAAAGGUACAAGCUUCCCCCUGUGGGGCAGCGUGAGAGCCAGCGGAGGCUGAGAGCUUAAAUCUCAGUCUCUGGCUCUUGGUGAAUUACUCUGGCAAGCAACGCAGUGAUGGCGGUGGCGUGAGGCCAUCCUUCCACAUGCCCUUCCAUAUUUGCAGGUACAACCUGCCUGUGGGUGAAGCCCCUGGCUCUAAACGUCCCCCUGCCCCCAGAUGAGGUUUUCUUUGUUUUGGCUUGGUUUCCUGAUGUCAUUUCCCUCCUUCUGCUAAGAAAUAUUUUAACACAGAGAUGACAAAUACGGAGACCUCAGCGUUGCCUGGGAGAAGCUGAUCGGCACGAAGGAGGGCCACUGGUGACAAUCCCUGUUUCGGCUCCUGGUACCAUGGCCCAUGGUCUCAGUGCUCAUUUCACCCCAGUACCACAGCCUGCCAAAAUGCCGUCGCAGUUUUGGUGCACCAUCUGUGAGCAGCCCGACCGCUUUGGAACGUGGCAGAGUGGCGGAGCAGCUGGGGAGCCGUGCAGCAUUUGCCUUCUCCGGGGGCUCCGCAACGCUCCAGUAUUUCUCCUCUUUGAAUAGAGCUGGCAAAAUCCAUAAUUGCUUCCACUCUCCUUGGCUAAAAACGAGGAAAAGCCCGGCACCCCGCCAUGGGGAUUGUUCAGCGCAGAGUCGAUGCGAUGAAGGCCUCUGCACCAGGAGUCGCCCAUAAUAGGUGGUGGCAAUGCCACAGCUCAGCUUGUUUUUUAAUAUCUCUCUUUUUUUUUUUCUCCUUUCAUGUGUUGUUUUUUCUCCCCCCCUGGGUGGAGUACAACCCGGGGGGGUGAUGACUUACCUGCCACAGCUCGGUAGAUCGCAAUCUGGAACUGGCAGAGUGUUAACACAAUGCCCCAGCGAGAGCUUUUCUGUCUCUAAUUUCUAUGAUUAUGUUGUUACUGGAUCAGUGAAGAGAACCAUGAAAAACACAAUUACCAGGAAGCCCUGUUCCUUUCCUCAUCCCUUUGUCUUGCUGUGGAUCGGGCGUAUGACUCACGGAGCAAUCAAGGACCCGCUCUACGCGCCUGCGCUACCGAAAACGCUGCUGCCCGCCGAUGGGACCCAGCCGUGGGAAAGCCUCACCGCUGGCUGAAGAACCCAGUCACGUCACGUUUUGCGGCUGGCGUCCAAAUGCGUCCUGAUGAAUCGAGUGAUAGCGGCUACCUGCUCCUGCUCCAGCAGUGGCCGAGCAGCAGCGCAGAAGAGGGGCUGUGGAAACCUCCCCGCCACAUAGGAAAGCACAGGGAAGGGAAGAUGGUUGUGAAUGAGCUUGCUGUGGCAGGACAGCAAUGUUUUUUUAGGUGACCGGCAUAGCGUCAGACUAAAGGGAAAGGGGAUGAGCAUGUUUUGACUGUGGGUGCCGGUCUCAGAUUUGCUCAGUGCAAGCCCCUCUGAGCAUUGCAGGCUGGUGGGGCUGACCCGACCCCCUUACGUGACGCAGAGUGGGACAGGAGAACUUCACUUGUUGACUGCACUCCAAAUCAUGUAUAAACCUAAGCCUCCAACGACACGUGCCAAUAGCAGCAGAGCGGCCGAUAUUUUUACUACAAUUCCUAUGAAAAAUGUCAGCUCAAAGUCAACACCAACUCUCAACAGAUCUGAUAGGCGAGCGUGCUCCAAACUGACGGUUGAAAUGCAUUAUUUGCCUAUUGCGUGCUGCAAAUACAAAUGUGUAGCAGGAGAGAACAGACCUUGGCAAACAAACUGACAACAAGCUAUGCUUGUGGGGAAGGCUUGUGAUUUGAUCUGGAAGGGAACACUGAGUAUAAAUAGGGAUAAAGUUUACCUUAAGCACGCAUGAAAGGCAGGGUUAUGGGCCAUGGCUUGGACUUCUUCAUUCUUCUGCCAGAGAACAGUUUGAAACAUAUCUGCUAUU